rnacentral:rRNA from 1 species
CCUACGGGUGGCAGCAGUCGAGAAUCAUUCACAAUGGGGGAAACCCUGAUGGUGCGACGCCGCGUGGGGGAAUGAAGGUCUUCGGAUUGUAAACCCCUGUCAUGUGGGAGCAAAUUAAAAAGAUAGUACCACAAGAGGACGAGACGGCUAACUCUGUGCCAGCAGCCGCGGUAAUACAGAGGUCUCAAGCGUUGUUCGGAAUCACUGGGCGUAAGGCGUGCGUAGGCUGUUUCGUAAGUCGUGUGUGAAAGGCGCGGGCUCAACCCGCGGACGGCACAUGAUACUGCGAGACUAGAGUAAUGGAGGGGGAACCGGAAUUCUCGGUGUAGCAGUGAAAUGCGUAGAUAUCGAGAGGAACACUCGUGGCGAAGGCGGGUUCCUGGACAUUAACUGACGCUGAGGCACGAAGGCCAGGGGAGCGAAAGGGAUUAGAUACCCCAGUAGUC